rnacentral:rRNA from 1 species
UUAGGAAUAUUCGUCAAUGGGGGAAACCCUGAACGAGCAAUGCCGCGUGAGUGAUGAAGGUCCUUUGGAUUGUAAAACUCUGUUGUAUGGGAAGAAUGACCAAACUAGGAAAUGAGUUUGGAGUGACGGUACCAUGCCAGAAAGCUCCGGCUAACUACGUGCCAGCAGCCGCGGUAAUACGUAGGGAGCGAGCGUUAUCCGGAUUUAUUGGGCGUAAAGGGUGCGUAGGCGGCUUGUUAAGUAUGAAAUUAAAGCCCGGGGCUUAACUCCGGUUCGUUUCAUAAACUGGCUUGCUUGAGUAUG